UACGUAGGGUGCAAGCGUUGUCCGGAAUUACUGGGCGUAAAGCGCACGUAGGCGGCUCUUUAAGUCGGGGGUGAAAUCCUGGAGCUCAACUCCAGAACUGCCUUCGAUACUGAAGAGCUUGAGUCCGGGAGAGGUGAGUGGAACUGCGAGUGUAGAGGUGAAAUUCGUAGAUAUUCGCAAGAACACCAGUGGCGAAGGCGGCUCACUGGCCCGGUACUGACGCUGAGGUGCGAAAGCGUGGGGAGCAAACAGG
rnacentral:rRNA from 1 species